UCAAAUGUCACUCUGUAAGUGUUCCUUGGUAUACCCUUUAUUUGGGCUCCCGAGUGGCACAGUGGUCUAGGGCACUGCAUUUCAGUGCAAGAGGUGUCACUGCAGUCCCUGGUUCAAAUCUAGGCUGCAUUACUGUACAUCUAGCUGUGAUUGGGAGUCCCAUAGGGUGGUGCGCAAUUGGCCCAGUGUCGUCUGGGGUAGGUCGUCAUUGUCAAUAAGAAUUUGUUGUUAACUAGUUCAAGGUUAAACGUAAAAAAUGUAUUUAAAAUAUUUUUGCAAUUGUUGUCGGGCACCCCUCCUUUGUUGAAGCAUGGAACCCCACCUGAACUCUGACCUUAGACCAGUAGUAUCUAGCUGUUACUUGCCCAAGUCCUUAAGGCAGUGAUAAGACUUGGGUUGGGAAACCCAGAACCAUUCAUUGACAGUGUUGACCUAGUCCUGUCCUAUAGACAGAUGUUAAGAUCACUGAAUGUCUGUCUCUGGUCUGGCCAUUCUCUAUGUGAAUGUAUAUCUAUGUCUCUGUUCUGGCCAUUCUCUAUGUGAAUGGAUAUCUAUGUCUCUGGUCUGGCCACUCUCUAUGUGAAGGGAUAUCUAUGUCUCUGGUCUGGCCACUCUAUGUGAAUGUGUCACCCACCCUUUGACUAACACAAACCCACACAGCGUUAUGUUUCUCUUUGACUUCAGACCCCUGUGACAGUUGUGUGGUUAAUGUGUUGUACUGAUGAUGACUGAAACAUCCAGUGCAGUGAGACAGCAACUAUAUUAUGUGAAUGUGCCCCACCCUUUGACUAAAAACAAAACAAACACAUACCGGUCUUAAUUUGUCCCCCAGCUUUUGACUAAAUAUGAAACACACGUACCGGUGUCUUAAUCCGCCAACCUACUAGUACAACCAGCUACACUCCCCUCAGAAUUAGAAGUGUGUGUGUGUGUGUGUGUGUGUGUGUGUGUGUGUGUGCGCGCAGACAUUGCAUAAACAGUGCUAUGGUUUGAAUGUGGAACUAUAAGCUGAUCCCACGAAAGCUGCAUAGGAAUCUUAAUGCGCUUCCCCAUCAGACCAUGAGAGUCAGAGUUCCACACGUGGAAUGAAUCUCACCUUAGAAUUUGGUUCUGUGUGAUUUUACAGAGACUAUUUUCAGAUAGAUACACACAAGCCACCGAUCCAGGGUUUUUUCUGCAAAGAAAAGUCUUGGGCGGGCUUCCUAAGUGUGUUUUCGGGCUGCCUAUGUCCAAACAGUAAAAAAAUAAUAAUCUUGUAAUAAAAUGGAAUGGAAAAAGGAUGGAAAAACGUAAGUGUAAACUUAAACGACUAAAACCAGAUAUAAACUAUGUAGAAAAGAUAACAGACCUACCCCUGAAGUCUGAAGAAGUGCACCAGUCCCCCACAACAUGAUGCUGCCACCCCCGUGCUUCACGGUUCAGAUGGUGUUCUGCAGCUUGCAAACCUCCCCCUUUUUCCUCCAAACUAACGAUGGUCAUUAUGGCCAAACAGUUCUAUUUUUGUUUCAUCAGACCAGAGGACAUUUCUCGAAAAGGUAGGAUCUUUGUCCCCAUGUACAGUUGCAAACCGUAGUCUGGCAUUUUUAUGGCGCUUGUGGAGCAGUGGCUUCUUCCUUGCUGAGUGGCCAUUAAGGUUAUGUCGAUAUAGGACUCAUUUUACUGUGGAUAUAGAUACUUUUGUACCCGUUUCCUCCAGAAUCUUCACAAGUUUCCUUUGCUGUUAUUCUGGGAUUGAUUUCCACUUUUCUCACCAAGGUACGUUCAUCUCUAGGGGACUCCUUCCUGAGCGGUAUGACGGCUGCGUGGUCCCAUGGUGUUUAUACUUGUAUGCUAUUGUUUGUACAGAUGAACGUGGUACCUUCAGGCAUUUGGAAAUUGCUCCCAAGGAUGAGCCAGACUUGUGGAGAUCUACAAUUUUUUAUUUUCCCAUGACGUCAAGCAAAGAGGCACUGAGUUUGAAGGUAGUCCUUGAAAUACAUCCGCAGGUACACCUCCAGUUGACUCAAAUUAUGUCAAUUAAAGCCAUGACAUCAUUUUCUGGAACGUUCCAAGCUGUUUAAAGACACCGUCAACUUAGUGUAUGUAAACUUCUGACCCACUGGAAUUGUGAUACAGUGAAUUAUAAGUGAAAUAAUCUGUCUGUAAACAAUUGUUGGAAAAAUGACUUGUGUCAU
ensembl:lncRNA